rnacentral:tRNA from 1 species
GCUCCCGUCGUCUAGGGGUUAGGACACGAGCUUUUCAAGCUUGUAACACGGGUUCGAUUCCCGUCGGGAGUACAA